rfam:Ciona savignyi cont_65887, whole genome shotgun sequence.
GGCGCCAUGGCUAAGCGGUUACAGCGCCUGUCUAGUAAACAGGAGAUCCUGGGUUCGAAUCCCAGUGGUGCCU